rnacentral:lncRNA from 1 species
GCCUUUUCAUUCGCCUUAAUUCACUGCGUUUCCUUUCUUGCUCCUUGCGAGGAACAGAGGGAGAGCUUGUUCCAGCAGACGGGCCCCAUCCGCCCCACCCGGCUCCGCUGGAGCGAGGGCUGGAAAAGCGGCAUGCGGGCGAAGGGGGGAAUCUCCCACCCCUGCGGGGCCUCCGCGCCGCUUCCCAGCAAAUACGAUUUAUUGAUACCUCAGAGCCUGAGAGUCUCCCAUGCCUUUGCAUCUUUGUGCUAACAUUACCCAGGAGUGGGCAGGAUCUGUGAUGAGCCUUUGAGUUCAAGUGGGGAAGAGCUCUCAAUGUUAAUUUGUAGAAAUGAAAAGAAGACUUUGGUUAACAGAGAUUUCAGCCUGAGGAACCUGUGCUGCAGGAGAAGGAUGGCACCAGUGUUUCUAAAAAUCCAUUGCUGAACAUGCAGUACCACACAUCAAAAAUGCAAUCACUCAGCUGGGGACCUCAGGAUGGUGGCUGUGGAUUAAUUCAGUGCUGGAAGGAAAAUUGAUGGUUGCCCUGGGACCAGUGUUUGCUGGCCAGUGACAUUCAAAGAAAGGACAGCCCCAUCUGGUCAUGGGGAGAGCAGUGACAGUGCAAAAGGAUGAAGUGAUCACAGUGGACAAAGAGCAGGUCAUGAACUCACCCCAAAGGAGGGGCAGAAGGGUUUUGUUGGGGGCUGAGUCCAUAGGAGACAGAGCCAAACUUCUCGUCCGGUGACCGAGUGUUCCCCUCCGGAAGGGGCUGCAGCGGGGAGCCGCGGUCCGGCCAGGGUGACAUUUGCAGCGAGCCCAGGGUGACAUUUGCAGCGACCGGAGGUCACCCGGCGGAAGAAAACAAACGCAGCAAAAGCAGCAAAAGCAGCGCUGGGCGGCCACGGAGCGGCCCCGCAGAGAGGGGAGAGCACCAGAGGGGCGCUGAGGACCUGCAUUUGCCUCACACCAUAUUCCUUCUACUUUCCAUAAAACAUGUUUUUAAUCAUUGGCAAAACUUUUCUAUUUUUUUUCUUCUCUUCUCUUCUCUUCUCUUCUCUUCUCUUCUCUUCUCUUCUCUUCU